rnacentral:rRNA from 1 species
UCAGGUUAAUAUUCCUGAAGUGGGAUGUGGAUAAGCGGCAACGCAAACAAGCCUGGAGACGUCAGCACUGGACAUCUGGAAGAGUUAUCUUCUCUUUUUAACUGAUUAGUGUCCCCGGAAAUGGAUUACCCAGAGAGGUGGAUAUAUAUCAGGAAUGAGCAUCUCAUUUCCACGAGGUGUCAGAAACGUUCGUGAUGACCCCUGAAAAUCUAGGUAAGUGAUGUUUCACACCCAAUCGUACCAAUAACCGCAUCA